rnacentral:rRNA from 1 species
GCGUAACACGUAUGACAAUCUGCCCACAGCCGGGAGAUAGCCCUCCCGAAAGGAGGAUUAAUAUCCCAUAGGAAGAUGAGAUGGCAUCAUUUUAUUUUUAAACUACGGGGGCUGUGGAUGAGCAUGCGGUUGAUUAGCUAGUUGGCGGGGUAAAGGCCCACCAAGGCGAUGAUCAGUAGGGGGACCUGAGAGGGGUGAUCCCCCCACACUGGCACUGAGAUACGGGCCAGACUCCUACGGGAGGCAGCAGUAGGGAAUAUUGGACAAUGGGUGUAAGCCUGAUCCAGCCAUGCCGCGUGCAGGAAGAAGGCCUUCUGGGUUGUAAACUGCUUUUGCCGGGGGAUAAAAGAUCCAUGCGUGGAGAAUUGAAGGUACCCGGUGAAUAAGCCACGGCUAACUACGUG